rnacentral:rRNA from 1 species
GUGGGGUAACGGCCUACCAAGGCGACGAUCGGUAGCCGAACUGAGAGGUUGAUCGGCCACAUUGGGACUGAGACACGGCCCAGACUCCUACGGGAGGCAGCAGUGGGGGAUAUUGCACAAUGGGGGAAACCCUGAUGCAGCAACGCCGCGUGUGGGAAGAAGGUUUUCGGAUUGUAAACCACUGUUCUUGGUGAAGAUAAUGACGGUAACCAAGGAGAAAGCUCCGGCUAACUAC